UCUUCUAUAGAUUAUGACUGAAAAAAGGAAAGUGUUUUGUCAUACUAGUUGAAAAAGGUUAUUUUUUGUUCAAGUCAUUGCUGUGUUUUUCUUCACUUUAGAGCCAAAAGGAAGUGGAGGCCUUAUGGAGGGACUCUAAACUGAGCUGGGCUGAUUUUCUUCCUGAAACCGUGGAUGGGAACAACUUCAUUACUGAGCAGCCCUGAUGAAGUCUGAUGACCUGAAGAGGGUGGAGCUGAGACUUCAGACAGCAGACGGACUUCUGAGGAGGAACAUCAGCACCACAUGAGAGGUGGCAGCAGGUUGGGGCACUAUGCCGGCUGUGUGUCUGCCUUUGAGCACAGGUGAGAACUCGUUCGAGUUGCAAACGGUAGAGUUGGAGAUGGAGGCUUUGGAGAAACAGGCAA